CAUACUGGAUGAUAAUAUCAUUUUAGGAUCUAAUUACGAAACACCUGAAAGGAUAUCUAACUAACAUAAUUGUUUUUUUUAUAGCAUUAAUAUCUAUCUAUUCUUAUAAAAAUGUUUUCUUUUUAUUGGGACUGGAUCAUUGAGAACACUAAAUGCAAUUCUACACUCUUUUUUCAUUGUCAUCUUCAAUGUUCUGUAAGAAGUUUAUAAGUGUGAUAUACUUGAUUUUUUUCCCAUGCAGCAAUGCUUGAAGUAUCGAAAACCAAGGCUUUUUGUGAGUUCUUUACCUUUGUUUAUCUCAUUGAACUGUACUUAUAAAUUGGCACAUACUAUGUGAUUACUUUCACCAAGAACAAGCUUUCUAUUUUAUGUGUAAUUACUUUCACUAAGAACUGUACUAUAUAAAUUGGCAAUCAGGUUUGGUUUUUGGUUUAGUAAUGAAAUUUUACACUUACAUACACUACUUUCUAAAUUUCUUUAGUUUAUAUCAAGUAAAGCUUUUGGUGAAACAUCAUGAAUAAGUAUUUCCACAUCUAACCUAGAGAGUUUAUAACUAUUAUUUCAAGAUGUAUUCCUUUUACAUUGAUGAUUAGUAUUUCCACAUCUAACCUGAUGAUUACACAAUUUAAUAGCUAGCCUAUCAAAUGGUUAUUAAAACUGAAAGUUUUUGGUUGAAAUGAACUUUUGCAGUUGACGGUGAAACUCCAUUUCAUCAAAUCUAAAUCAAAUCAAGGGAUUUGUAAUAAAAUUUCACCAAAUAUUCAACAGUCAUAGUUUUAAUGAAAUUUCAAAAAGAGUAAUUAUUGGAUAUGCGUUUCUUUCAUUAAAAAUGGUUAAAACAGAUCUUUAGGAUAGGUUUGGAUUUUUUUAGAAAGAUUUGAUGAAAUAAAAGAGAGUAAGGUUUGAGUGUUCCAUAUUAGAUCAAGCUUUUAACCAAAAUUUUUCUAAAAUUUGAUGAAAAAAAUAGACUAGGGUUGGAGAUGCUCUUAGUAUAGUGAUCCUGCUCUUAUUUGUAUCUCAGUUAACCAAAAUUUCUCUAAAAUUUGAUGAAAAAAAGAGACUAGGGUUGGAGAUGCUCUUAGUAUAGAGAUUAGUAUUUUCACAUCUAACCUGAUGAUUACACAAUUUAUUUUUCUUUCUACAAUCUUUGUUGGAGCUGAGUACGAGAAGAUUUGGCAAUAUCAGGUAUUUAUCAGGUUACGGCUUCAUGAGUUGUUUAUCAGACAUACAUGUUCAAGUACGACAGUGUUCAUGGACAAUGGAAGCAUCAUGAUGUCAAGGUCAAGGACUCAAAAACACCUUCUUUUUGGCGAAAAACAAGUCGUUGUUUUCGGAGUCAGGAACCCUGAUGAAAUUCCAUAGGGCGAAACCGGAGCCGAUUUCGUUGUGGAGUCUACUGAAGUUUUCACUGAUAAGGAGAAGGCUGCUGCCCACUUGAAGGUUCAAGAACCAAACAUGCUGUAAAAAAUUGCUUCAGUUGACCGGAAUGACCUUCUGAGUUCCAACUGUGGAUGUUUCAGUUGUGAACCUCACUGCGAGGCUUGAGAAGGCAGCUACAUACCAGCAAAUCAAAGAUGCUAUCAAGUGAGUAUUCAGAUUUCCUUCAUUCCUUCAAAUUCACCUCAUUAUGUAGUAUAUUAGAUUGGCAAAUUGAGAUUUGCAUAAUUGUAUCAAAUUUCUUUGGCUGCCAACUCUUGAUUAGCAUGUGACGAGGUCUUUUAUUCUUUCUUGGUUAAUUUCUGAGAGAAAUCUGAAGGCAAACUCAAGGGUAUUUUGGGGUUCAUCGAAGAUGAUGUGGUCUCCACUGACUUCAUAGGGGACAACAGGUAGAUUGUUAUACUAUUUACCAUCUUAAUACUCUAGCUGAUUGUGUUACUUAACAGUUAAAUGCAGUGAAUUUGAAAUAUAAAACAAAAAACAGAAAAUAUGUAGGUCAACUGGGCUUCUAUUUUCAAUGGAAGAAGAUGACAAAUGGGCUUAUGUUCCUUUCUUAGGUGGAAUCUUACUUAAACCUUUAUUAGUCAACUGGCAGUGCCAUUUCACACCUAUUUUUUUUUUUGUUAAUAGUAAAACCAAUACAGACCAGUGCAAUGUAGG